AUGGGAUGCGAAUCUCGAAAGCCUGUCUCAGUUCGGAUUGGAGGCUGAAACCCGCCUCCAUGAAGUUGGAUUCGCUAGUAAUCGCGCAUCAGCCAUGGCGCGGUGAAUACGUUCCCGGGCCUUGUACACACCGCCCGUCAAGCCAUGGGAGCCGGGGGUGCCUGAAGUUCGUGACCGCAAGGAGCGACCUAGGGCAAAACUGGUGACUGGGGCUAAGUCGUAACAAGGUAGC
rnacentral:rRNA from 1 species